CUUCACCGACCCCAGCCACAGCGGCUCGGGCCGCUGCUGCCCGUAGGUGGCGAUGAGGGCCUGGGCCUC
rnacentral:antisense_RNA from 1 species